rnacentral:rRNA from 1 species
GACGAACGCUGGCGGCGUGCUUAACACAUGCAAGUCAAACGAAGAGCGAUGGAAGCUUGCUUCUAUCAAUCUUAGUGGCGAACGGGUGAGUAACGCGUAAUCAACCUGCCCUUCAGAGGGGGAUAACAGUUGGAAACGACUGCUAAUACCGCAUACGAUCUAAUCUCGGCAUCGAGGAUAGAUGAAAGGUGGCCUCUACAUGUAAGCUAUCACUGAAGGAGGGGAUUGCGUCUGAUUAGCUAGUUGGAGGGGUAACGGCCCACCAAGGCGAUGAUCAGUAGCCGGUCUGAGAGGAUGAACGGCCACAUUGGGACUGAGACACGGCCCAGACUCCUACGGGAGGCAGCAGUGGGGAAUCUUCCGCAAUGGACGAAAGUCUGACGGAGCAACGCCGCGUGAGUGAUGACGGCCUUCGGGUUGUAAAGCUCUGUUAAUCGGGACGAAAGGCCUUCUUGCGAACAGUUAGAAGGAUUGACG